UCACAUUAGUCACCAUUAAUUUUGGAAUAAAAUUACUAAUCCUCUGUUUUAAUGUAGUGGUAUUAAGUUGAUGGAGUUCUGUAGUAAGGGGCUUACAUGGCAGUGUACAGUUAUUUGGAAAUUCAACAGAUUCGUUUAAUAAUGACUGGGUGGUCUUGUUGGGUUGUCCAUCAGGGGAGGCAUAUAAGGGUAAUUUACAUGGGGAUAAAAAAAAGGGUGUCUCAUAGUAUUUAGGUGACUUUGAAAAUGAUAUGGAGUUUGUCCGUAAAACGGGGGUGGAAAAAAUUGUUGUUGGUAUGGUUGAAAGGACUAUUGUGGUUUAGCGUGGGAGAAAUAACAUUUCAAACCCUUCAGGCAAUGACCCUUUCUGCGUAAGAAGGGACAUGGAACGUGAGAUUUAGGGUUUUUUGUGUGUCGGGGGAACCUAUCUUGGUAUGGUGCGGGUAUUUCGUUCCUACCCGCAAUUUCUUCUGAAACAUUAUCGGUUCCAGCGUUAUUUAGAUUUGCCGCGCCAACGUUGUUUUGAUCAGAUAUCUCGAUUAUACUAAUGUCGGGGGCGUUGGGAUUAGUCGUUUCAUUAAUUUCUUUUGUUUGAGCGUGAGUUAAAAUAUGCAUAUCAGUGGCAGGUUUGCCAUUUCGAUUUUUAACUAACUUUCCCCCAUUUUCAACUGAUUUUUCACCUUUACUCUGGCC